AAAGUUGUCAAGAUAUUUCACAAUAAAGAUUUAUACACAGGUGCAUUUGUCUUGGUCAGAUCUGCGCAUCAUACAGUUAGAUCUGGUGGCUUGUGAGAGUGUCAUUGCCUAACAUUUCCAAGGAACAGUUGUGCGAUAUUUUCCCUCAGAAGCCAAGAUGCUUCGAAACUGUGCAGACAAUGUAGAGAACUUCUGCUGCAUUUGUGGCGAGGUGCCAUUUGCAUCUCAGCAAUGCAGCAUGAGGGCAGUGGUAAAAAAGGCGGACCACCUAUAUUCUGGGUGCCAAGUAGGGGCUCAGGACAAGAGUUGGGCCCCCAUUAUUGUUGCAUUACAUGUGCCACUGAUCUGCGUCACUGGCUAACAAGAAGGAAAAGUCCAUGCCUUUCGCAGUCCCAAUGGUGUGGCGGGAACCCCCCCAUCAUAAUAGUGACUGCUAUUUUUGCAUGGUCCCCCCAAUUGCGAAAGGGAUCUCGGGAAGAAGUGGACUGUGGAAUACCCAAACAUGCCAUCCGUGCUGCGUCCUGUCCCCCAUGGUGAGGGCCUGCCAAUUCCAGACCCACAGAAUCCCACUCUCUCUACUCAGAUGAUGGGAAAGACGAUGAGCAGGAAGCAGCUGCUCCGGGGCUGCCGGUGUCAGCGGACCCAGACUCUAGCCCGCCAUAUGCUGCUCCUGAACCACAUCCGAUCCACAGAGCGAGCUAAAGGGGUUUGGAGUUGCCUAAGUGCAAGGCAGAGCUGGGCUCCCGAAUGCCACAGUGGAACCUCCUGCAGGGUGAUGUCAAGAUCUCUGUCUUCCAUGAUCGCCAAAAAGAUCCGGUUCCGUAAAUGAUACAUGAAAAAUCAAUAACUGAAUGGAAAACUGUGUUAUUGGUAUCAAUUAAAAGAUAAAUUUAUAAUGA